rnacentral:rRNA from 1 species
CCUACGGGGAGCAGCAGUGAGGAAUAUUGGUCAAUGGGCGCGAGCCUGAACCAGCCAAGUCGCGUGAGGGAAGACGGUCCUAUGGAUUGUAAACCUCUUUUGUCGGGGAGCAAAAGACGCCACGCGUGGCGUUCCGAGAGUACCCGAAGAAAAAGCCUCGGCUAACUCCGUGCCAGCAGCCGCGGUAAUACGGAGGAUGCGAGCGUUAUCCGGCUUUAUUGGGUUUAAAGGGUGCGCAGGCGGAAGAGCACGUCAGCGGUAAAAUUGAGAGGCUGAACCUCUUCGAGCCGUUGAAACUGGUUUUCUUGAGUGAGUGAGAAGUAUGCGGAAUGCGUGGUGUAGCGGUGAAAUGCAUAGAGAUCACGCAGAACGCCGAGUGCGAAGGCAGCAUACCGGCGCUCAACUGACGCGCAUGCACGAAAGUGUGGGUAGCGAACAGGAUUAGAUACCCCAGUAGUC